CUGCAAAUAUGUAGUUUAUAACAGAGUGAUAUCGGAUCAAUGUCGAAGUUUGCGCCCUUCGACAGAUCAAGUGAUUCGGCUGACGAGGGAUCGGAUCAGCCGAGUUCGAAAACCUUUACUAUAGAAUCGGUUCGGCUGGAUGAGCCAAAUAUAUGAACUGUGCAAGAAUUGAAAUCGGCCGAAGAGCCGAAUGACUAAGAACGUAAGAAUUUGUCGGCUGUGCAGGGAUCAAUGUUGGCAGAAGAGUCGAAUGAAAGAAGUACACAGUUACUGGUCGGCUGAAAGAGCCGAAUAAAUGAAAUACACAAUGACUGGUCGGCUGAAGGAGCCGAAUGCCUAUAUAUAUAUAUUAAUAAAACAGAGUGUGCCCGAAGGGCAUACAGACUCUGCAAAUAUAUAGUUUACAACGGAGUGAUGCCCGUGGGGUAGACAGACUCUAGGGUUCUACUUAAAAGCUACUCCUAGGAAAGCAGUAAAUGCGAAAAAGAAAAGAUUACAUUUAGACUACUGCUAGAAAGCAAUAAAUGCAGAAAAGGAAAGGUAUGAAAAUGCGGUGGUCUUCUCGUUCAUGGGAGAGAAAGACCCUUAGUACAGGCUUUGAAGUUACUAUUUAUAGUGAUGUCUUCUCAGCCCACAUUAUUUAUCGGUUGAAAGUAGUGGGGGGAGUGAUUGUAACCAUGAUCGUGGAAGUUAUGCCCACUUCUCAUGGAAGUUACGCCUCCACUUCUCAACCGGUCCCGCCUAAACGCUCUUGACUUUCAGGCGCUUUAUUGCCGACUCCUGGUGUACCACGUGUCCUUAUUUUUUUGGCUCAUACGUGGGCUAAGUCAGCGUGUUAAUUUUAAUUUUGGCAUCAACAAUGCCCCCCCAAUAGUCUUUCGAAUAAACAUUCGGAUGACUAUUGGUGCCAAAUCGACUACUCAAAUGACACAGCCGAGACCCAAGCUUUAGUUCGCUGGUCUUGGUCGGCUUAUAGAAAACGGCUCUUUAUCGUCCCAGCCGUAUAUACCUCGGCUUCAUCAGCCGAUUCUUUACUUUUACUUGAUUGGUUCGACUCUUUUUGAACCGAAUGUUCUUCUAUCAAGGAUUUCUCCUUGAAGAAAGUGGCUCUUUACUAGCCGCAUAUACCUCGGCUUCAUCAACUGAUUCUUCACUUUCACUCGAUUGGUUCGGCUGUUUUUGAAUCGAUUGUUCUUCUACCGAGGAUUUCUCCUUACCUUUACUUUGAUUUUCAUAUCGGCUCCAUUGCAGCCGAUCGUCCUUACUUUCCUUUUGGAAUUGCUCAUAUUGGGCAACUCGAACACCUAGAUCAAAUAGGUUAGAAAAAUACUUAUCUUCAAAAUGAUCUUUUAUCUUAAAAUGUAGACCAUUUAACGCCAUUUUGGUGAACUCUAAUUCCGGCAUUCUCAUAAAGCACCGGAUUUUGGCUAUUUUGAAACAGUUCAAAUACUCUUUGAUCGUUUCACCUUGCUUUUGUCGGUAUAAAGUUAAGAAGGCGACCGAUAAUUGUGACUCCGACCUAUAGAAUCGCUCAUGAAAUUUUCUUUUCAAUUCGUCAUAAUCUUGGACGGAAUUGGCUGAUAAACUUGUAUACCAAGUAAACGUCGUUUUAGUUAACGACGUGUUAAACAAUCUUAAUUUUAAAAAUGGAUCUGUCGUGGCUUCCUGGCACUGUGCCGUGAACCGUGCCACAUGUUCGACCGUGUUUUCGGUCUCAUUCCCAGAAAAUUUAUCAAAUUUUGGCAUUUUUCAGUUUGCCGGGUAAGGAUGCUUUGUGUCUAUAUUUGCAGGAUAAGGUAAUCUAAAUAUAGGCCGCAUUGCCGGCCUUGUGCCUACUCCAAAAGUAUUUCGGAUGGCUUCUUCGAUUUGCGCAUAUAUUUCAUUAUUGUUUGCUUGCAAAGGAACUUGUGCUUGUGCUGCAUUCGUUUCUUGUAAUGGUCUGAAGUUAUGUGCUAUGGGAUUUCCUCCUUGAAUAUUUGGAGCCUGCCCCCCAGCUCUAGCCCCUAUAUUUUGAGGCUGGUAUGUUGCCAUCGCCGGAGGUGGUGGCAAUCCCCAUGCAAUUUUCGGCUGUUGACCGGUAUUGACGACGGCCGGUCUGUAAGCCGCUUGGAAUGGUGCCCCCUGGUAUUGGGGCUGUCCAUUUACCGGUGUCAUAGGAUUUUGCAACACUGGUGUCAUUAUAGGCCCUUGUAAGCCUAUCAUUGGUUGCUCAUUUCGAGUCAAUAAUUGCCCUAUUCGGGCAAUAUUUUCAUUGUAGGCCGUGAUGGCGGCCAGCACGGGUCUAAUCGAGCGAUACUUUAAUGGAUAUUUUGAUCUAAAGUUUGCAGGACUCGGGCCAUUUGGCCGAGUGCCUGAGUUAGACUCGGCUCUUGAUGAGCCGACUGUCCACUAGUCUCGCCCUCAACUGGCAAAACUGCUUGACAUUCGCCAGUAUUGUCUUAAAAUGUGUCCCACCGGACGUGCCAAAAAUUAUUGGUAGUCGAAUUUUUCGACCCUUGACCCGGUCAAAGAUCCUUCUCGGGAAGCGCGUCGGGGUGAGGAACGGCUGCGGAUAGUGACCCUCGAAGUUUGCGCCCUUCGACAGAUCAAGCAAUUCGGCUGACGAGGGAUCGAGCCAGCCGAGUUCGGAAACCUCUACUUUUGAAUCGGUUCGGCUGGAUGAGCCGAAUGUGCGAACUGUGCAGGGAUCAAUGUUAGCAGAAGAGCCGAAUGGAAGAAGUACACAGUAACUGAUCGACUGAAAAAGCCGAAUACCUAUAUAUAUAUAUUAAUAAAACAGAGUGUGCCCGAAGGGCAUACAGACUCUAUAAAUAUGUAGUUUACAAUAGAGUGAUCGGAUCAAUGUCGAAGUUUGCGCCCUUCGACAGAUCAAGCGAUUCGGCUGACGAGGGAUCGGAUCAGCCGAGUUCGAAAACCUUUAUUGUAGAAUCGGUUCGGCUGGAUGAGCCGAAUGUAUGAACUGUGUAGGAAUUGAAAUCGGCCGAAGAGCUGAAUGACUAAGAACGCAAGAAUUUGUCGGCUGUGCAGGGAUCAAUAUCGGCAGAAGAGCUGAAUGGAAGAAGUACACAGUUACUGGUCGGCUGAAAGAGCUGAAUAAAUGAAAUACACAAUGACUGGUCGGCUGAAGGAGCCGAAUGCCUAUAUAUAUAUAUAUUAAUAAAACAGAGUGUGCCCGAAGGG
rnacentral:lncRNA from 1 species